rnacentral:rRNA from 1 species
GCUAAUACCGCAUAAUCUCUGAGGAGAAAAGCAGGGGAUCGCAAGACCUUGCGCUUUUGGAGCGGCCGAUGUCUGAUUAGCUAGUUGGUGAGGUAAAGGCUUACCAAGGCUUCGAUCAGUAGCUGGUCUGAGAGGACGACCAGCCACACUGGGACUGAGACACGGCCCAGACUCCUACGGGAGGCAGCAGUGGGGAAUUUUGGACAAUGGGGGAAACCCUGAUCCAGCCAUGCCGCGUGAGUGAAGAAGGCCUUCGGGUUGUAAAGCUCUUUCAGCCGGAAAGAAAUGGUUACGGUUAAUACCCGUGACUAAUGACGGUACCGGAAGAAGAAGCACCGGCUAACUACGUGCCAGCAGCCGCGGUAAUACGUAGGGUGCAAGCGUUAAUCGGAAUUACUGGGCGUAAAGCGUGCGCAGGCGGUUUUGUAAGUCAGAUGUGAAAUCCCCGGGCUCAACCUGGGAACUGCGUUUGAAACUAC